GGAUAUAGCUCAGUGGCACAGCACCUGCUUGGCAAGCUUGAGGCCCUGGAUUCAAUUUCCGGUACCA
rnacentral:tRNA from 1 species